rnacentral:rRNA from 1 species
GUGACCUCAAAUCAGGUAGGACUACCCGCUGAACUUAAGCAUAUCAAUAAGCGGAGGAAAAGAAACUAACAAGGAUUCCCCUAGUAACUGCGAGUGAAGCGGGAAAAGCUCAAAUU